rnacentral:lncRNA from 1 species
UUUUAAUUGUUCUUUGAGUUACAGUGUUAAUUUCACAUAUGGCACGUCAGGUAGAUCGUCUCACAAGGAUUGGAAUGGAAGGCUUUGCUCUGAUUGAGAAUAGUUAUGGCUGGCCUAGAAGAUUCCCCUCAACUCAGGUACAGUAAAAUAUGUUGAAUAUUAAACUCAAUCUAGAUAGUCAAGGAAGGCAACCACCAGCCGCCACCGACCAGCCGCCACCAACCAGUUGCCAGCCACCAGCCGCAGCCGCCAGCCGCUUUCACACCUGCUGCCACCAGCCGCCUUCACACUUGAAGGUUGAAUUUUCUUGUUUUGAAUUCUUGUAUAAAUAGAGUGCCCAGCUUCUGUAAUGCGUGUGGAGAGAAUUGAGAGGAACACUAGAAAGAGAAAGAGAGAGAGGGCGUGUUUAAGCUUUUGUGUUAAUUAAUUGUAAGCUUCAGUUUCUUGUAAUAAAACAGUGUGUUUUAUCCCCUCUGAGUGUUUCAAAGCCACCACCAGUGGUUUCUCCCACCAACAAUUGGUAUCAGAGC